rfam:Triticum aestivum genome assembly, contig: Triticum_aestivum_CS42_TGACv1_scaffold_407006_5BL
UGUGUACUCCCUCCGUUCGAAAAAGGUUGUCCCAAUCUUGUUCCUCAAAUGGAUGUAUCUAGCACUAACUUGAUGCUAGAUACAUCCAUUUGGGAGACAAAAUUUUUCGGACGGAGGUAGUAUGCA